rnacentral:lncRNA from 1 species
UCCCAAUUCAUCACAAAUCUGAAUUUUCCAACUUCAACUAGAAAGGAAAGUGUUUAGCCACUCAUGGUGGACAAAAUCACAAAAGAAAAAAAAAAGAAAGAAGAGAUUGCUGCGUUUCUGGAGAGUUUCUGAAGCUGAGAGAUGAUCAGAAGAUGCCUUUGCUGGUUUGGAGGCUCUCCUUUUAUAGCUGAAGAAUUCUAUCUAUCUAGGGUUUUGAAAUCCCUUUUUGAUUUGGUGUUUG